ensembl:lncRNA
GUCCGCACGUGCGCAGGAGCACCAAGUUUCCAAGGCGCGUGCGCAAGGCCUCUCCGGGUGGCUUAGCAACAAUUUCCCAUGAGGAGUUGGUCCUCCCGCUUAAAGGUCUGAGCUACAGCAGGAGUUAUCUGCAAAACCGCCGUUGGCCAGCUGGGAGGCGGCCGGUGCAGGGGUGGAACUGAGCAUCAGCCAUUCGCUAAGCUUCCGGGAGAGUGCUGUCGUGCUAGCCUUGUCGUCUGGGCCAGGGUCUUGCUAUGUAGCCCAGGCUGGCCUUGAACUCAUGGCAGUCCUCCUCCCUCAGCCUCACAAAUGCUGGGACUAGAGGCAUGUGCCACUAUGCCUGGCUCAGGACUUUAAACCAUGUGCACAUCACUUAAAAAACCAAACCAGCCAACCAAGCAAAGUUCUCAACUCUCUCCAUAAGAAGGUUGCUGCCCUCACUUUCUUGCAGCCUUGUGCUAAGGACCUUCCUGCUACAGAUGAGCCAGAUUUUCUUCUUCCUCCCAUGUUGCCACACAGCUCCAUGCCAGUCAACUGUCCUGUGAUAUUUCUGGAAAGGAGGAGACCUUUGCAUUUUAUAUCCCAUCCAGAACAGCAAGAUCUUUGCCUGGAAAAGACUGUUCAGUAGAGCUGAGGUUGCACUAAGCACACCCAGAAGUUGAAGCUGAAACAUCUAAGAAAUCUAGUCUUUCCAUUUCUGUGGGUGUUAAGGAGUCUGAAGCUUAAACAAUGAACAUGGUAGAGAUGAAGACUUUGAAGACUGUUUAAAGCCACAAGAUAAAAAGAAUAAAGAGCUGGAGGGUGCUGGAUUUCACUGAAAACAGACUGAGUUCAGAAGUCUCACCAGUAGAAGUUUAUAGUACAGUAAGUCCCCAACUUAACAAACCAACUCCAUUCCAGGAGAAAGUUCAUUAAGUCAGAUUCGUUCGCAAGUUCCACAAAAGGAGUCUUAUAUAUCUUUGACACAAAUAUACAAUGUAAAGCUUUAAAAAAACACAAAAAGAACAAGUGACAUCUACC